CCGCGAUCAUCGACCGCCUCUCCCCAAAGCCGCGUAGGAGAUUAUUAGGAUGAGGAUUACCCCCUCUCUUCUCAUGCUGAAACAGGCGAUCGUUAAAAUCUCCAAUCAUAACCCA